UAUGGUAUUGUCGCAUCUAACGGGUCGAAUAAUUUUGUCAACCGUUCCUUUAACGGAAAGUCGAAAACAAUCUAGUCUUGUCAAUUCACAUGACACAAACAAUUCUUUCUUGCAAAUGAACAGUGCUUUUCGUUAAAUAAAUUCCGUUUUCUGUGAUUGUGAUUAUGUCUAGCGUUUAUCCGUUCAUAUUUGUUUAAAUGCCAUUGCCGGUCAAUUAAUCUAGACAAGUAUCAGCUCGGGUCGAUUUCGAUGUUUUUUGUAACGCACCCAUUGUAAUCGGCUUCUUCGGGAUUAUCUUCCAAACAUGACUUGAUUGGAAUUAUUUGAAAUGAUUUAAUGGAACAUUGAGGCUGGGAAAACCGAUCAACGAAUUUGAUCCACACCGAUACGUAGUUGAACGUAAAGGGUUCGUAGUGGAUCCACCGAGAUCCACCAUCAACAUUUUUAAAAUUACCAUUUUUCCCAUGUAUUUGACAAUGUUUGCCGUAAUGCUUGCUGCAGUUGUGGGACACACAGAUUGUCAUCUUAGCAAUUCAGAGCAAACAACGAAACAAAUGUCAAUUGAAUUGAUGAAUCCGAAGCCGUUACAUACAAUCAAUGUACUAGCCAUAUCAUGCAUUUCGCCGUAUGACAUAGCGUAUUGUUUGAAUGGUGGCCGAUGUUUUAAUGUCACAUUCGCCACCUAUUCAAUGCCCAGUUGUGAGUGUGCCACUGGUUUUAUGGGCGAGAAAUGUGAAUACAAAUAUUUGGAUCGAUCUUAUAAUCCUGAGCAUUAUAUGAAAGCGGAUGACACUAUCACAGCAGAACAUUGGUCCAACGUCGAGAAAUCUCACAGAAAACCAAGCUCAUUCGCCAAUAUUGCCGGAGAAACGUACGUUGGAUCGGGUGCAGUAAAAGGAGUUUCAGCUACUGUUUCGGUUAUGCUACUGUCGAUGUUGUUACUGCAUCUCCUGAUAUUUGUAUUAGUAGCAGUAUAAGGAUACCAUUUGCGUUAAGAGAAUUGUAACCAGUACAAAGUUAUCGUUUCUAUAAAUUUAAUUUUUUUUUUUCGUAAAUAAUUUUCUUGAAAAAUUUCUA